GGGCCUGUAGCUCAGUGGAUCAGAGCACGUGGCUACGAACCACGGUGUCGGGGGUUCGAAUCCCUCCUCGCCCAAUG
rnacentral:tRNA from 1 species